rnacentral:tRNA from 1 species
UAUAGUGUACACUGCACGUAGACCUUUGAAGUCUAAAGAAGAAAACAUCUCUUAUUACAA